CAACAAACCUUACUUCUUGUUGGUACCAAUGUUGGGGACAUUGGGUUGUGGGAAGUUGGUUCUAGGGAGCGGUUAGUUUUGAAGAAUUUCAAAGUUUGGGAUCUCAGUGCUUGUUCAAUGCCUCUGCAGGCAGCUCUGGUUAAAGAUCCUGGUGUAUCUGUUAAUCAUGUGAUUUGGAGCCCUAACGGUUCUUUGUUUGGAGUUGCAUAGUCCAGGCACAUCGUUCAAAUAUAUUCUUAUCAUGGGAAUGAUAAUAUACAGUAGCACCUGGAGAUUGAUGCUCAUGUUGGCGAAGUAAAUGACAUCGCAUUCUCCCACCCAAACAAGCAACUUUGUCUGAUAACCUGUGGUGACGAUAAGACCAUCAAGGUGUGGGAUGGCACUACUGGUGCAAAGCAGUAUACGUUUGAAGGUCAUGAGGCUCCUGUUUAUUCUGUCUGUCCUCACUAUAAGGAAAACAUUCAGUUUAUCUUUUCAACUGCACUGGAUGGAAAGAUAAAAGCAUGGUUGUAUGACAACUUGGGAUCUCGAGUUGAUUAUGAUGCUCCUGGUCGCUGGUGCACGACAAUGGCUUACAAUGCAGAUGGUACCAGG